rnacentral:rRNA from 1 species
AGAAUCAACGCUGGCGGCGUGCCUAACACAUGCAAGUCGCACGAGAAAGGGGAGCAAUCCCUGAGUACAGUGGCGCACGGGUGAGUAACACGUGAAUCAUCUACCUCCGAGUGGGGAAUAACUGAGAGAAAUCUUAGCUAAUACCGCAUAACACUUACGAGUCAAAGCAGCAAUGCGCUUGGAGAGGAGUUCGCGGCAGAUUAGUUAGUUGGCGGGGUAAUGGCCCACCAAGACGAUGAUCUGUAUCCGGCCUGAGAGGGCGCACGGACACACUGGAACUGAAACACGGUCCAGACUCCUACGGGAGGCAGCAGUGGGGAAUUUUGCGCAAUGGGGGAAACCCUGACGCAGCAACGCCGCGUGGAGGAUGAAGCCCCUUGGGGUGUAAACUCCUUCGAUCGGGAAGAUAAUGACGGUACCGAUAUAAGAACGCCCCGGCUAACUUCGUGCCAGCAGCCGC